rnacentral:rRNA from 1 species
CAUAGGUUAAUGAGGCGAACCGGGGGAACUGAAACAUCUAAGUACCCCGAGGAAAAGAAAUCAACCGAGAUUCCCCCAGUAGCGGCGAGCGAACGGGGAGCAGCCCAGAGCCUGAAUCAGUGUGUGUGUUAGUGGAAGCGUCUGGAAAGGCGCGCGAUACAGGGUGACAGCCCCGUACACAAAAAUGCACAUACUGUGAGCUCGAUGAGUAGGGCGGGACACGUGGUAUCCUGUCUGAAUAUGGGGGGACCAUCCUCCAAGGCUAAAUACUCCUGACUGACCGAUAGUGAACCAGUACCGUGAGGGAAAGGCGAAAAGAACCCCGGCGAGGGGAGUGAAAAAGAACCUGAAACCGUGUACGUACAAGCAGUGGGAGCCUCUUUAUGGGGUGACUGCGUACCUUUUGUAUAAUGGGUCAGCGACUUAUAUUCUGUAGCAAGGUUAACCGAAUAGGGGAGCCGAAGGGAAACCGAGUCUUAACUGGGCGUUAAGUUGCAGGGUAUAGACCCGAAACCCGGUGAUCUAGCCAUGGGCAGGUUGAAGGUU